GAUGAACGCUGGCGGCGUGCUUAAUACAUGCAAGUAGAACGCUGAAGGAGGAGCUUGCUCUUCUGUAUGAGUUGCGAACGGGUGAGUAACGCGUAGGUAACCUGCCUGGUAGCGGGGGAUAACUAUUGGAAACGAUAGCUAAUACCGCAUGACAACAGUUGUUGCAUGAUAACUGUUUAAAAGGGGCAACUGUUCCACUACCAGAUGGACCUGCGUUGUAUUAGCUAGUUGGUGAGGUAACGGCUCACCAAGGCGACGAUACAUAGCCGACCUGAGAGGGGGGUUCGCCACACUGGGAAUGGGACACGGCCCAGACGCCUUCGGGAAGCAGCAAGAGGGAAACUUCGGAAAUUGGCGGAAAUCUGACCGAACAACGCCGGGGGAGUGAAGAAGGUCUUCGGAUCGUAAAGGUCUGUUUGAAGGGAAGAACGAGUGUGAGAGUGGAAAGUGCACACUGUGACGGUAACUUAACAGAAAGGGACGGCUAACUACGUG
rnacentral:rRNA from 1 species